AUACGAAGGGGGCUAGCGUUGUUCGGAAUUACUGGGCGUAAAGCGCGCGUAGGCGGAUUGGUCAGUUAGGGGUGAAAUCCCAGGGCUUAACCCUGGAACUGCCUCUAAAACUGCCAGUCUUGAGUUCGGGAGAGGUGAGUGGAAUUCCUAGUGUAGAGGUGAAAUUCGUAGAUAUUAGGAAGAACACCAGUGGCGAAGGCGGCUCACUGGCUCGAUACUGACGCUGAGGCGCGAAAGCGUGGGGAGCAAACAGGAUUAGAUACCCUAGUAGUCC
rnacentral:rRNA from 1 species